rnacentral:rRNA from 1 species
GGUGAAAAUUCCUCCUACCCGCGGAAAGACGGAAAGACCCCGUGCACCUUUACUACAGCUUGACACUGUAGCUUGGAUAUUCAUGUGCAGGAUAGGUGGGAGGCUAUGAUGACUAGACGCAAGUAGAGUCGGAGCCAUCCUUGAGAUACCACCCUUGAAUAUUUGAGUUACUAACUGCGUACAAUUAUCUUGUAUCAGGACAAUGUCUGGUGGGUAGUUUGACUGGGGCGGUCGCCUACCUAAAAAGUAACGGAGGCUUACAAAGGUUAGUUCAUGGCGGAUGGAAAUCGCCAGUUGAGUAUAAUGGCAUAAACUAGCUUGACUGUGAGACAUACAAGUCGAACAGAGACGAAAGUCGGUCAUAGUGAUCCGGUGGUUCUGUGUGGAAGGGCCAUCGCUCAAAGGAUAAAAGGUACGCCGGG